GAAACUGCCUGAUGGAGGGGGAUAACUACUGGAAACGGUAGCUAAUACCGCAUAACGUCGCAAGACCAAAGUGGGGGACCUUCGGGCCUCAUGCCAUCAGAUGUGCCCAGAUGGGAUUAGCUAGUAGGUGGGGUAACGGCUCACCUAGGCGACGAUCCCUAGCUGGUCUGAGAGGAUGACCAGCCACACUGGAACUGAGACACGGUCCAGACUCCUACGGGAGGCAGCAGUGGGGAAUAUUGCACAAUGGGCGCAAGCCUGAUGCAGCCAUGCCGCGUGUGUGAAGAAGGCCUUCGGGUUGUAAAGCACUUUCAGCGGGGAGGAAGGCGAUAAGGUUAAUAACCUUGGCGAUUGACGUUACCCGCAGAAGAAGCACCGGCUAACUCCGUGCCAGCAGCCGCGG
rnacentral:rRNA from 1 species